UACGUAGGGGGCUAGCGUUGUCCGGAAUCAUUGGGCGUAAAGAGCGUGUAGGCGGCUCGGUAAGUCCGCUGUGAAAGUCCAGGGCUCAACCCUGGAAUGCCAGUGGAAACUGUCGAGCUAGAGUCCGGAAGAGGUGAGUGGAAUUCCUGGUGUAGCGGUGAAAUGCGCAGAUAUCAGGAAGAACACCCGUGGCUAAGGCGGCUCUCUAGUACGGUACUGACGCUGAGACGCGAAAGCGUGGGGAGCGAACAGG
rnacentral:rRNA from 1 species